UGAACGGUCACAUUGGAACUGAGACACGGUCCAAACUCCUACGGGAGGCAGCAGUGGGGAAUCUUGCACAAUGGGGGCAACCCUGAUGCAGCGACGCCGCGUGAGCGAUGAAGGCCUUCGGGUCGUAAAGCUCUGUCCUUGAUAAAGAUAAUGACGGUAAUCAAGGAGGAAGCACCGGCUAAAUACGUGCCAGCAGCCGCGGUAAUACGUAUGGUGCGAGCGUUGUCCGGAAUUAUUGGGCGUAAAGGGUACGUAGGCUGUUUAUCAAGUCAGAUGUUAAAGCGUGAGGCUCAACCUCAUAAAGCAUUUGAAACUGGUAGACUUGAGUAGUGGAGAGGAAAGUGGAAUUCCUAGUGUAGCGGUGAAAUGCGUAGAUAUUAGGAGGAAUACCAGUAGCGAAGGCGACUUUCUGGACACAAACUGACGCUGAGGUACGAAAGCGUGGGGAGCAAACAGGAUUAGAUACCCUGGUAGUCCA
rnacentral:rRNA from 1 species